AGGAACUUUUGCAGAGACUGAAAUGGCAUAUAAGGCAGUCUUGACAGAUUGGCCACUGAGCAGCAUGACAGCUGCCUCCUCAUCCCCUGCUAGCAUGCAGACUCACAGGAAACUAUUGGCUGUCAAUCAAAUGGAAUUUCUAAAUAGUACAGGCAUGAGGGGAAUAUAUGUGGACUACUGCAAUCACUGCAAGUACAGCUGAGCUGCCAAAAUGAUGGAAUCCAUAGGCACCGAGCAUGAAAACCUGGAAAUGGAGAUUUGAUUCUUAUGUGCAAAGAGCAAAUUGUGGGAUUUUCUGUCUUCCAAGUCCCCGUGCUAAAGUCCUAACACGCUCGGAUAAUGACACCACAAGAACUUGUGGAUAAAUUAUUUGGAUGUCCAGAAAUCCGCAGUGGCAUGUAAACCACCUGGAGCAAAGCCUUUAUUUAAUGCUGUCACAAACAGAGGAAAUAUGGUCCGGAGAUAGAUAAGGAGUCAUUUUCCUGUAGAAUGGGGAAAGAUAGCAGAUUUCUUCGCCAUCCAAACAACUGCCUAUUGAGAUGAUCCUAUUGCUAACUGUUAACUUUCUGCAGGUAUUGUCAUCCUCCUUGCAUCAGACUCACUAAAAUGACACAGAUGUGAUUUCCUGAGAUGAAUAGGACAAAAGAUUGAUAAACUAACCAUUAUCAACUCAUGAGUGAAAUUCAUUGAUGUAUUAUGUAACACAAAGCAAAAAAGUAAAUGACUGACAGAUUGAUCGCCAGCAUAGGUUUCAGUAAUUGGUUCUCAAAUGAGAAAAUUAAGGAUGCAUAAAGCGUAAGUCAAUCCUAUCCCCUUGCUUUGUAUCUGCACAAUUUAAUCUAAAUUUAGCAUGAAUAAACGUGAUGGGUAGAUAUCAUGCAAAUUAUCAUAUUUUGAGGUGUUGGGUAAUAUCUUCCCUGUAUGUGGCCCAAUCAGGCAGUUUUGUCAGUAAAUAGCAGGCUCUACCAUGCUGAGUAAUAAUUAAAAAAAGAAAUACAAAAUCAGAUACAGAAAUAAAUUAAUUUACCUUCUGUUUGACAUAAGAGUAUGGACGUCAAUAGAAAAAUGUAGUGCUGUAAAAAAAAUAAAAUGUUUAACUACAUUUAUCGCUAGUUUUUCAUUUCUGAAGCUAAUUUAUUUAAUGAGUAGGAUAUGACAGGGUUAAGGAAAAUGUAUUUUUAACUUUUUCUUACUUUGAUUCACUAUGGUAAGCCUAUUAUAAGUGUUUAUAUUUUAGACCUGACAGUCAUACAGAGCUGAACAGUUAUGCAGAGCAGAAGCACAAACAAAACAAUGUUCUUCUACAAAAUGCAUCCAGUUUUAGUUUUUUGUAAGAUAUGAUUGGUGAUUUAUCUCCAAUCUAAACAAUACAUCCAAUGUAAUAACUGAUAUUAACCAUUUGAAUCUAAUGGUGACAUGACAUGUCAACAAAUGGAAAAGUCACCCAGCUUUUUAUCACCACAUCAGUUAUUAUACCUUUAGCCCCAACAAUACGGGCACUUUUUACCCCAAAUUCCAUACUUCACAUAUUCUUCAAUUAUAAAAUAAUAAUAAUAAUGAAAAAAAAAAAAGUUAAUUUAAUUAGCUUGAACAAAACAGAAAAUCAUUAACACGACCUUUCUAUGUAUACAUUUGGUAAUUUUAAUGAUUCUCAUUUGCUGCUACAUAAAUGUGAGGUGAGGUUUUUUUUUUUUUUUUUUUGAUUUUGAGGAAAAUAAAAUCAAAUGUGUGUCAUUUAGUCCUGUUGUACCCUAUGUAUAACAUUGUUACUUGUAAUAAACACUGUGGAGAACUAGAUUUAGCUACUACUGAUAACUACUGAUUUAGCCCAUAGCUGAUAUGUCCUUGAUCAAGUCAUGCAGUCAACACUAUAUGAUGAAUGAAACUAGGACUCAUUAGAUAAACUUUUGUCAUUGUAUGAAUCAGGCCCUGGGGGAUUGAAAAGCUUCAGUUUAAAGUGGAGAAACAUGCUAAACAGUUUGUGGAAAGACUAAAUUGAGCCGUCUGAUUAAGAUUUCUCUCAUAUUACAUCAUAUUACAAGGGAAAACAGCAUUCGCCUGAUGUGCCUAUAUUUCCAUCUUCGGUAGAUGUGCCCUUGGAAACCAAACAUUGAUGAGAUUUUACAAUUGCCAUGACUCCAUUUUGUCCUGUUUCUUGGUGCUGUUUAUUGAUCCAUUUCAGUUUCAGCUGUAUAAGGAGUGUGCUGUCUCAUCUCUUAUCAGCAUGCUCUGAUUAGGUAAAACCAUCAUGCCAAACAAGGUUUUUAUAGAAUAUGCUGCACACAAUUUGGCUAGUUAGUUUGUAUUUUUUUUCUCUCUCUCUUCUAAUGCAGAUAGUAUCAAAAGGUGCCAAAGCAAAGGUGCUCUGACUCACCCGUGCAAAAUUACUUUUCUCCAUGUUGCAUGUGUUCUGGCGUUCUGAAAUAUCCCAGUGCUUUUGUCUAAAGAAUUGUACUUAUAAUUUUGUUGUUUCUGUCAAAGCUCUAAUUUGUAGCUGUUUGUUUCACUCAAAAGUGCCUUCGGAACCAGCUUAUCAACACAUUUGUUAUUGUAGGUUAAAUGACCCCAAUUAACAUAACAGAUGCAAUAUUCAGAUGUCUGAUCGCCAAAUAUGAUAAAUGGAAAUGACCUCCAAAGUGUAAUCCAUUAAAUGCUGGAAUCUUUGUGCAGUCAGGAAUAAACACCUUAGCCAUUAAACUCGCCAUUAUCAUUACAAUUAUUUGAAUGUUUCAGAAUGGAGUGUUGCAUCCUGAAUAAGUUGACAUGGUUCUCUAUUACUGUAAUGACCAUAUCCAAAUUAUUUAUUUUGAGAAAGAAAGAAAGAAAGAAAGAGAAAAAGAAAGAAAGAAAAAGAAUUGGAGGUAUUGGAUCAGCUUUUACAUAAUAAAAAAUGAUAUUUUGACUGAAACUUUACGAUUAUCCAAAUGAAAAGAUCUGGGAAGAAUAGAUAACCUUUAACUGCUAUUUGAGCUUUUUCUUUUUAUCAGCAGUUACAGGUCAAGCAUGACCAUUUUAUUUGUCCUUUAUCAAUGUCAGAUACAUUCCAAUUAUGAACCCAUUGCGUGAUUACCGACCUAUAUUAACCAAUAUACUCAUCGUUAUUCUGAUGGGUUCGUGUUUCACAACGUAACAUUUAACAGCACCGCCACAGUUCAUUGGAUUUGAUUCCCUGGGUUUGUCGUUUAGAUGUCUUUCAAAUGUUAAUAUGCCUCACUCCAUUUAGAUCCGCUUAAAAUGACUCCCAGUAUUAGAAUUAAAGUCAACGCCUGCAGUAUUUGUGCCUUGCUUGUGGUCUGUAUAGUAUGUAAAAUUCCAGUGUGUUCCAAAAGUGUCGCUCUGUGUCAAAUAAUAAUGGUAGUCUUGCAUAUUUCAAAAGAAACGGGAUUGUAAUGAAAACACUUUCUUGUUAGAACCCCAUAAUAAUACCAAGACACCAUACAUUUACAAGUGUAUAUUUAUAUAGCACCUAUUGGUUCUACUUUUGUUUGUUUUUUCAGACCACAAAAAGAGAAAUGUUCCCAGUCACACUCAUUCAUAUAAUGACAGUAAAUAGGGACCAAUGACAAGUUUUUAAAAAAGUUGCAAAAGUAUCCAAAACUUCCCAUGCGACACAUCGUAUAUUCCAAGUGUUCUGGGGGUAUAUGAUAGGGUAUGGUGAAAAAAAAAACAGAAAUGUACUGAAAUGUAAUACAACUCUCCAAAAAGUAUCCGUGUACUUUCUUCGCCAAGUUAAAUAUCUCCGGACCGGAACUCCAGUUGUCAGAUGACAGUCAAAAUGACAGUUGACAGAUGUGAAUGCGAAAACUUCUUGCUGCAACUAACAUAACAUGUAUAUUCAUUCACCUCAGAGAAGAAAGUACAUGGAUUGUAUUCCAUGUCACGAUUUUAUUAAUCUUGAUUUCUUACAAUUUGUGUGCUUUUUCUGGGCAAGUUGGAGUGAGUACUCAUCCCAGGUCAGAUAAUAAGUGGAAAAAAAGCAUCUCGUUGGGCUGCAAUUUUUUUCUCUGAGUAAGGAAUGAGUAAAGAAUCACCUACCUGCUUCACUUACCUCUUUAUAUUAUUACUCCAUCAUCUCUCUUGAUCUUUUGCGUCUCUCUGAUCUUCUGUGUCUCCAGCGUCUUCUACUCCUUACAUGCUCCUUACAUGCUCCACUGUUCUCACCGAAGUGUGUGCACAGCUGCUCUCGUCCACGACCUCCUCAAUCACCUGCAAUACAAAGAACUGUCAGUAUUUCCAUCCAUUACUGCAUUACUGCUUUGACCUGCUUUUUUACUUUACCUGCAUCAUCCAAUAAACUCUCAUAUUCAUUUCUA